UGGAGGAUAGUGCACUUGAGGCUGGAAUGGACGGAGAGGCUUUAAAGGAGGGUGAGAAGUGUGGCUGCCCUUCCCAAGGAGGCAGAGUGGAUAUGGGGCAUGCAGGAAACCACCACCUGUGACCGCCUCAUUCACUGCCCAGCUCUGAAGGAUUCAAGCACCAGGUCCACACCGAGCAGAGCUCCAGCUUCAAAUCCAGUGAGGCUCAGCUCCUUGCGACUCCCAGCAGGAGCAGCAGGGCUGCUCUGCCAUUCUGACCUCUUGUUAAUUAGGGGCUCAUUAGCAUGGAUCCAGAAGAACUUCAGCCCUGGCACGCACGUAUCAUGGCUGCUCCACAAAACUGAGCUAUCCAUCAGCCUGCAGGGGGGACUUAGCCUGAGCAGAGGGCACAGUGCAAAACCAUUCCCCACUAAAGGCACUACACUGUGUUUUUUGGGGAGCUCUGCUGCUACCUCUCUGGAUCAACACUCUGCUGGGAGCACCAAGCAAGGAGAUGC
ensembl:lncRNA